rnacentral:tmRNA from 1 species
GAGUUUGCAUGUGGCCGUUGGGUCGCCUAUAUAGGGGAUGCCCGCAAGGGCUAUGGCGAUAAAUGGUCAUUGUAAUAAACCCAUCGGACCCGGGGGCAGUACCCGGCGUCUCCACCA